CAAUGUUGAUAUUUUUACAACAUAAAAUGGACAAAUUUCCAAUAAACCUUCAUAAAACUCCAUCAAAUGCUUUAUGAAUAAAAAGUACUUGCAUUUAAUACUACUUCAUGCCUAUUUUAAACACUGAUAUUUGAAUUAAACCAAAAUAAUAUGUACUGAAAAUUCCUAUGGAACAACGUAGCUUAAUUGACAACGCGCUCGAGAGAAUUACUCUCUUUAACUUAAUGUAGGUAUGUUACAAAAUGCUGAUUUAUGGAGAUAAAAAAAUCUUGCAGAAGGUGUGCGCGGAAGUCUAGAAGAGUUUUGGGGAUCUCCAUAGAAAUGCUGGAUGUUGGAUUAAUUUAAACGCACCAUUUGCUGUAACAAACUCAUCUCAAGAUAGUCUUCAAAAUUACAAAUAAAGUAUAACGGAUUAAAUAGAAGUUAUAAUGGAAUUAAAAA
rnacentral:lncRNA from 1 species